rnacentral:rRNA from 2 species
UUUGAUCCUGGCUCAGAUUGAACGCUGGCGGCAUGCCUUACACAUGCAAGUCGAACGGCAGCGCGGGAGCAAUCCUGGCGGCGAGUGGCGAACGGGUGAGUAAUACAUCGGAACGUGCCCAAUCGUGGGGGAUAACGCAGCGAAAGCUGUGCUAAUACCGCAUACGAUCUACGGAUGAAAGCAGGGGAUCGCAAGACCUUGCGCGAAUGGAGCGGCCGAUGGCAGAUUAGGUAGUUGGUGAGGUAAAGGCUCACCAAGCCUUCGAUCUGUAGCUGGUCUGAGAGGACGACCAGCCACACUGGGACUGAGACACGGCCCAGACUCCUACGGGAGGCAGCAGUGGGGAAUUUUGGACAAUGGGCGAAAGCCUGAUCCAGCCAUGCCGCGUGCAGGAUGAAGGCCUUCGGGUUGUAAACUGCUUUUGUACGGAACGAAACGGUCUUUUCUAAUAAAGAAGGCUAAUGACGGUACCGUAAGAAUA